CACGUAGGGUGCGAGCGUUGUCCGGAAUUAUUGGGCGUAAAGAGCUCGUAGGCGGUGUGUCGCGUCGGCCGUGAAAACCUGCAGCUUAACUGUGGGCUUGCGGUCGAUACGGGCAUCACUGGAGUUCGGCAGGGGAGACUGGAAUUCCUGGUGUAGCGGUGAAAUGCGUAGAUAUCCGGAGGAACACCAGUGGCGAAAGCGGCCACCUGGACUGUACCUGACGCUAACACGCGAAAGCUAGGGGAGCGAACGGG
rnacentral:rRNA from 1 species